AACGAACGCUGGCGGCAUGCCUAACACAUGCAAGUCGAACGAGACCUUCGGGUCUAGUGGCGCACGGGUGCGUAACGCGUGGGAACCUGCCCUUAGGUUCGGAAUAACUCCCCGAAAGGGGUGCCAAUACCGGAUAAUGUCUUCGGACCAAAGAUUUAUCGCCCUUGGAUGGGCCCGCGUUGGAUUAGCUAGUUGGUAGGGUAAAAGCCUACCAAGGCGACGAUCCAUAGCUGGUCUGAGAGGAUGAUCAGCCACACUGGGACUGAGACACGGCCCAGACUCCUACGGGAGGCAGCAGUGGGGAAUAUUGGACAAUGGGCGAAAGCCUGAUCCAGCAAUGCCGCGUGAGUGAUGAAGGCCUUAGGGUUGUAAAGCUCUUUUACCCGGGAUGAUAAUGACAGUACCGGGAGAAUAAGCUCCGGCUAACUCCGUG
rnacentral:rRNA from 1 species